GUUUGUCAUAAGUUCAACUUGUCUCCAUUCCUGAUCUUGGAAGGUAAGCAGGUUUGGGCUUGGUUAGCACUUGGAUGGGAGACACAUUUUGAAUUUUGUGGCACAAAAC
rnacentral:rRNA from 1 species